rnacentral:rRNA from 2 species
UGCAGUCGAACGGCAGCAUGAUCUAGCUUGCUAGAUUGAUGGCGAGUGGCGAACGGGUGAGUAAUACAUCGGAACGUGCCCUGUAGUGGGGGAUAACUAGUCGAAAGAUUAGCUAAUACCGCAUACGACCUGAGGGUGAAAGUGGGGGACCGCAAGGCCUCAUGCUAUAGGAGCGGCCGAUGUCUGAUUAGCUAGUUGGUGGGGUAAAGGCCCACCAAGGCGACGAUCAGUAGCUGGUCUGAGAGGACGAUCAGCCACACUGGGACUGAGACACGGCCCAGACUCCUACGGGAGGCAGCAGUGGGGAAUUUUGGACAAUGGGCGAAAGCCUGAUCCAGCAAUGCCGCGUGUGUGAAGAAGGCCUUCGGGUUGUAAAGCACUUUUGUCCGGAAAGAAAUGGCUCUGGUUAAUACCUGGGGUCGAUGACGGUACCGGAAGAAUAAGGACCGGCUAACUACGUGCCAGCAGCCGCGGUAAUACGUAGGGUCCAAGCGUUAAUCGGAAUUACUGGGCGUAAAGCGUGCGCAGGCGGUUGUGCAAGACCGAUGUGAAAUCCCCGAGCUUAACUUGGGAAUUGCAUUGGUGACUGCACGGCUAGAGUGUGUCAGAGGGGGGUAGAAUUCCACGUGUAGCAGUGAAAUGCGUAGAGAUGUGGAGGAAUACCGAUGGCGAAGGCAGCCC